rnacentral:rRNA from 1 species
UACGGAGGGUGCAAGCGUUAUCCGGAUUCACUGGGUUUAAAGGGUGCGUAGGAGGGCAGGUAAGUCAGUGGUGAAAUCCCCGAGCUUAACUUGGGAACUGCCGUUGAUACUAUCUGUCUUGAAUAUUGUGGAGGUAAGCGGAAUAUGUCAUGUAGCGGUGAAAUGCUUAGAUAUGACAUAGAACACCAAUUGCGAAGGCAGCUUGCUACACAAUCAUUGACUCUGAUGCACGAAAGCGUGGGGAUCAAACAGG